UCCAGCCCAGCUCCGCCGUCGCUGUGGUUGAGUCCAUCAGCGUUUCUGUGGAGAGAGCAGAGCCACUGCUGAGCCGCCUGUGAAGCAAGAUCCAGUGUGGUGUGUUUUGGCUGACCCUGUGCUGGCGUACACACAUCGUUUCCUUUGGACUCAUGAGGUGGCCCCUGCAAGUGAAGGCGAGUCCAAGCAGCUCCUCCCACACCCCAGACCACGCCUGCCAACAUCUGAUGGACAUCAGCCUCUCGUUCGAGGGCUGAGGCCUCCAGGGAGCCACUCCUGGUCCGUCUGAUGCCGCUUUCCUGGAAUGCCCUGAUUUCCUCUUUGUUCCUCUUAACCAAGUACUGAAGUUCAAGCUCAGUUUCCCUGGGAACCUGGGUGGGUUCAGAAAGCCAUGCCCUAUUUCCAUCGCCAGCACUUCCCUCCUCCCCAUAACACCCCAGACCUUGCCCCUCUGUUCUCAAAAAUCUACAGAGGGAGAGAAACUCAUGGUCACUGAGACCAGAGAUCCUGUCUAUUAGGAGCCAGAAACCCUCACCAACAUUCUCACAGUGAUGCCAAGAGAUAACGGAUACUGUUCCAUUUCACAGAUGGGAAAACUGAGGUUUACAAAGGCUUAGGGACUUGCUCAAGGUCUCAUAACUAUUUACAAGCUGUGCUGCAGCUACACAGACUGUUUGGUACUCUCUCUUGCACACUGUUUCUCCUGAUCUCUUCCCCUUCCACCCCAUCUGUAAUUUACUUACCCCAAGACCCAGCAGAGGGCCUUGCACUUAGUAGGUCUUCAGUCAAAGGCUGAAUUCCCCUUUCCUCCCCUAAAACUGUAGGGCUUGAACAUGCUAGUGUUCUGCUCCUUCAGGACAAUAUCCAUGACUUCGGCUGUUUCCACCUACAGCCUGUACUAUCAUAUAAUUACAAAAUUUCUUCCGACUCUUUUUUUUUUUCCUUAAGUGCAUUUUAAAGAGGAAAAAGCUAUCAUUAUUACAAAUGGGAAACCAAUAUCACUUGCCAUAAAAGGAAGGAAAACAAGCAUAAGACAAUUACCAUUAAAAAAGUUUGUCUGCAAA